GCCACCGUGGCGGAAUUGGCAGACGCGUCGGACUCAAAAUCCGAUUCCUCACGGAGUGUCGGUUCGAUCCCGACCGGUGGUA
rnacentral:tRNA from 1 species